AACGAACGCUGGCGGCAUGCCUAACACAUGCAAGUCGAACGAGACCUUCGGGUCUAGUGGCGCACGGGUGCGUAACGCGUGGGAACCUGCCCUUAGGUUCGGAAUAACUCCCCGAAAGGGGUGCUAAUACCGGAUAAUGUCUUCGGACCAAAGAUUUAUCGCCCUUGGAUGGGCCCGCGUUGGAUUAGCUAGUUGGUAGGGUAAAAGACUACCAAGGCGAGGAUCCAUAGCUGGUCUGAGAGGAUGAUCAGCCACACUGGGACUGGGACACGGCCCAGACUCCUACGGGAGGCAGCAGUGGGGAAUAUUGGACAAUGGGCGAAAGCCUGAUGCAGCAAUGCCGCGUGAGUGAUGAAGGCCUUAGGGUUGUAAAGCUCUUUUACCCGGGAUGAUAAUGACGGUACCGGGAGAAUAAGCUCCGGCUAACUCCGUG
rnacentral:rRNA from 1 species